CAAGUGCCUCUUUGCCUGUGAGCAACCAGACUCUUACUCUGUGCAGAAUUAAACAGAGGACGAAUCUGGCAGGCCAGGCUACCAGACUGCAGCGCCAGGUCAGAGCUUGGCCCAUGUGCCUUUGCUUUGGGUUUGAAAGGAUGGGUAGCCUUAGGGGUUGAUUGUUAUCUUUGGUUAUCUAGCUGUAUGAGUGAUGUACAUUCUUCAUAAAGCUAGAUAACCGAAAGUAACAAGAAUCCCAUUACACUCCUGGAAAGGCAUCAAGACCCCAAAAACUCCCCUGUCUUCGAAAUGUAAAUGCAAAAUGUAGAAGAUUCAAGAGAAGAAGGUGGACGGCAUUUCCGAGGAGAUGGGAGCUGAAGGCAGAAAAAGGAUGCCGUACUAGUGAGGAGAAACUGGCAAAAGACGACUGGAAACAGAAAAAGGAGGAGGAGGGGUUGCUGUUGAUUCUGCCCUCCCUCUCUCAUCGCCCUUUUCUGCAUCGCCUCUUUCCUCCUCCUCCUCGUCCCUUUCUCCUCCACUCCAUCUUCAGCAUACUGCCCCUUUUUUUCCCCUGUACAGCGAAAUGCAGCCCCGCGCCACCAUCUUAGAGCAACGCUGGCAUAAAAUGGAAGCAUGAAGACCAGUCAGUACAGAUAAACACCGGUGAUUGAGGUGACUCCAGAGAAAAGGACAGAGCACACAGCAGGUCUCCUGCUUUGGUGAUUGUUUGCUGCCAUUCAGUCAAAGUAAACAUGGAUGGAGCUGAUGUCUGCGCACAACGUGACCAGGAUGCUACAUCAGAAGACCCAGGAAUCCACUUGGAGUGCUUGCCACCACGUCUCGAUGUUUCUAGCUGCGUAAACAUCAUGGCGGACUGUGAUUCUAGCAGUCAGAUAAUUAGCAGCUUGUUAUGAGUGCAUUGGUCUCACAUUGAGACUCUUGUAUUAUCUUGUACGCUAGCUGUUAUUAACGUAAGAAUGUGUGUGUAUUUAACCAUGUAGGCUCCACUUGAUGUUUGUGAUUUGAGUUGAAGCCCAGAUUUAGUUCCAUUUCCGUUUUGUUAUAGUUGCUAGGACUCAAAAGACACAUGAAUGUGAGACCCACGACAGCAGUGAAUAUUACUGCACUGCGAUUGGGCAGCUCCGUGUGUCGGCUGACACAAUGGCGAAGGAGUGAGCUGCCGUCUUUAUACUCUAUGCAACUCUUCUGUCUCGUUUUUGUCUUGAGCAGAAGCUCUUUAAUCUGUUUUAGUUUUUGUUUUGGGCUAACCUUUCAUUGCGUUCUUGCAGACGUGAAAAAAAAAGGUUUUUGUCGGUUUUAGGAGCCUAACGUUCCCGUGGUUACAGUGAGAAAACAUUAUUAGUGUGUGCGUGCAUGUGAGUGAAUAAGCUCAGUCUCUUGGAUUGUGCAGCUGUGAGCCAGAAUGUGAACAAACGUGGACUCGGACAUUAAAUGGGGUGUUUGAUCAGCAGGCUGCUGCCUGUUUUCAGAAUACGAUUAAACUACUUUUCCCAGCAUGCUUUAGGACACACCAGUUUGCUUCAUAACAGUUACCAUCGUAGUCGUAAUAAUAUGUCUUUGUGUAAGACGUAGCAAAUGCCCUAAACUCAAGCAUUUCCUGUUCUUGACAUUACACACACACACACACACACGCACGCACGCACACACACACACACACACACACACACACACACACACACAUGCAAUUAGUACUGUACUUUCACAGCCUAAUUCAGUCUUUAUUAAUUUUCAGAAAGUGGAAUUUUUUCUUUUUUAUUAUUGUGAUUGAUAAUCUAUGCAAAUCAUUUCCUUUAAACAGACAAUGCAGUGCUUUUGCAGUUGAUUCAAGGGAGAUUAUCUUGACCUAAUUUAGAAAAUGUAUUCUUUUGAUAAUCAUUCUCAUCCCAGUGCUCAAGACAAUUACUUAUCUGCCUGGAUACGCUUGAAAUGAUCUUUUUAAUCUUUUGCAAAAAAAAAAGAAGAAAUUCCCUCUUAUGAUGUGAGUCCAGAGGCAUGGAAACUAUAAUAAUGAUGAUAGUAAUAAUAAUAAUAACAAUAAUAAAAUCACUGUCGCAAAUAACUCUUUUUAUUUAAAUGCAGAUCAAAUAGAUUAUAUUUAGCUGUGUCUGCUCAUUAACUUGUUUUAAACAAUCUCUUUAUGAAUGAGCGCUCACCACAGGUGCCUUUGUUUAUCAGACUUGCUGGAAUAUUAUUAUUAAUUAUAACAAUAAAGGUUUACAUUCAAAACAAAGCAAAAACUGCAUUCUUGACUUCCUUGUGUCUUUCUUAUAAUUCAUUGUGUGCCUAUAGGUGGCAGCCUUUUUACAAAGGAACAAAACAUGACACGAAGAAGUUAAAUUAGGUCAGUCUGCUUCAGUUAGUCACAUGAAUAGUAAGGCUGCAUUUUAAAUUUCAGAAAAUAACAAAAAAGAAAUAGAAAUUAUUUGACAUUUUCUGUCACCAUUUUGUGCCAGCGCUGUUACAAACAAAACAAAAGAUCAGAAAGUCUCCUCAGAUCACACAGAUGUUCAAAUAUCAAGGAUUUACAGAUCUGUUCUCCAUUUAAUUAGCUUCCUGAAGCGGUUAUCGACCAUUUUGUUGUAAUGUAAAUGAAUCACGAGCUAACGUGCAUGCACACAUGCAGAAAUGAUUGAGAGGAAACUGAAUGAUCAGCUACUCCACCUCCACAUCGUUAGAUAUGAGUGCACGCCGGCUAACAUGCGGGCCUCAGUCUACCGUUUCAACUCACCUCCCCUGUGUGAUCUGAUGUCUGACGCCACAUAUGGCCAAUGUGCCAACAUCAACAUAUGCCUGCCUCACAAUUCAUUAACAUUGUCAUGUAAAAAAGGGCCUUCUCACCAUAAAACACAUGAAAUGUGGCCUUUUACGGUAUGGCAGGUGUUGCUGCUCUCUUCAUUCCCUUUUAAGAAGCCUUUGGUAAUUUAAUGCAAGGCGUUUUUACCCAAACACACCCACUUGGGUAUUUGCGCCUCAGUUUUUAAUGGCGGGCACCUCUCCUCUUGUUUACAGCGACGCUGCACGUACAAACGACAUGUUAACAGCAGCUCCGUGCAAAUAUUACAGCGCCCUUAUUAACCAGGGUAGGCUGCAAUUACAUUAUGUCCCAGGCGUUAACAUCGGCGGUUCUCGGUGACAGCUCGGCUCGCCCUCUGUGUUUCUUGGCUGCAUUCUGGCCCUCAUAAUCUGUUUCACAGCUUUUGUAAGGGUGCCAAGAGGCAAGUUGCCCUAGCCAAGCUCUAUAGGCCUUAAUGAAGUGAGUGCCACUGUUAAGCACUCUAGAACAUGUUGGAAUGACGGCGUACAACUGUCCUGUCACUAGCAGCCAUGUUAUAUCACAGUCUGGGAUACAGGCGCUCUCCCUCAGCGCUGUGUCACAUCUCUGGGUAAAGAGGGGAAGCCUCCAGCCUUCGUUUGGCUUUGUGUGGCUAACAUAUUUGAUCCAGAAACUCUGUUUUAGGGAAACUCAGGGUGUGGCUUCUCCUUGGGAUGAGGCACACCAUGGCUGCUCAUAAAACGUUAGAGCGCGAGACUGAAGGAUUAGAUUCCAAGAUGGUGCCGUGUUGCAGCGAUAAAUAGAAAAGUUUAACUUUGAUGGACAAAUUCACGAGGCCUCAUGGUGGCGGGGCGUCUGAAGAGGGAAAUGGCUGGUAUUGGUGCAAGUCCAAGGUCAAAGAACAAGGGUGAUGCUCCUUUCAUUAGUUCCCCAGAAUCAUCAUUGGUAUGCAGGAAUGUGGCCCCAGGAGGUGGCUCCACAUGAUUUUGGAGGGAAAUGCAUUUGCAACGUGUUUGCAUGUCUCUGGAUCAGCGCCAAACAAAAGCGGGCAUCUCUCCAGACGUCUACGUUUGUUAGCUGCCUACAGUGCUGCUGUUAUCUCUGGUAGGA